GUACACUCCUGCGGGAGGCAGCAGUGGGGAAUUUUACGCAAUGGGGGAAACCCUGACGUAGCGACACCGCGUGAGCGAAGAAGCCCUUUGGGGUGUAAAGCUCUGUCAGCUGGAACGAAAACAAUGACGGUACCAGCAGAGGAAGCAUCGGCUAACUACGUGCCAGCAGCCGCGGUAAGACGUAGGAUGCGAGCGUUGUCCGGAUUUAUUGGGCGUAAAGAGUUCGUAGGUGGUUUGUUAAGUUUGGUGUUAAAGAUCGGGGCUCAACCCUGGGACUGCACUGAAUACUGGCAGACUCGAGUGUGGUAGAGGCUAGUGGAAUUCCCAGUGUAGCGGUGAAAUGCGUAGAUAUUGGGAAGAACACCGGUGGCGUAGGCGACUAGCUGGGCCAUAACUGACGCUGAGGAACGAAAGCCAGGGGAGCGAAUGGGAUUAGAUACCCUGGUAGUCCCAUG
rnacentral:rRNA from 1 species